UAAAAAAAAAUUAUUUCACCUUGUUUAAACAUACUUUACACACACAAAAUGGAUGGAAGACUGAUUUGCUUAAAACAAUUUUGUUUAAUUCACUUAACAGCCCUCUUUUUAAAUUAUUUUUGUUUUACAAUGAAACAUACAUGCAUACCUACUUAUAUACAGUAAAAAAGCUUGACAAAGAUUGCAAUUAAAUCACUUAUUUUUUUUUAAUAAUCACUAUAAGUGGGCUUUCUAUAACUUCUAAUGCACAAGUUUGGAGAGGUUUUGCGUGAAAAGCAGAUAGAACUUGCAAGUCGUUGUUGACAAAAUAAGGAAGGUACUCAUGCAAUGGAUAAGUCAAAACUAUUAAAAGAUUAUUAAUACUUAUUGAGUUUUGGGGGAAAAUGUAUGGGCAUAUGGCAAGAAUACAGACCAGAGCCUGGUAACACACAGAUCUGUGAUUAAUCUCAUUAUUGAGCAAUUCUGAUUAUAUAAUGACCAAAUGUUCUAAUAACAAAUGUAUCAUGAAUGGCAUUUUACAACUGAUCACAAAGCUUUGUGUUAAAGGGGUUAAAAUUGCAUACAAAGUUUUUUAAAAUAUUUUUUUAAAUAUAAAAGUAUUCUACUUUUACAUGAAUGUGUAUUAAAAUGAAACAAGCCUUAAUAUUUUAAACUCUUGCUUAAAACUGCAUAGUAAGUGAAUAAACUCUAAACUAAAUCACAAUUUUUCAUGAAAUAAAACCUGAAAAACCUCCGGUUGAUUAAAUUUGACUGCUCUUGCUGGAUAUGUAAUAUCUGUCUUGAAAUACGGUGAGGGAGGAAAUAGGUUCACAUGAUAAUAAGUUACUUCAGCUAAAAUAAUUAACUCUGAGUAACCAACAGAUUGUCGCAAACUGAUGAUUAAGGUAUAAUACUUUUCUGCAAUUGGCAAUCCUAUCCAUAAUGAUAAUGUUAGAUGUGAGUAAAGGUUGUACUUUCAACACAAAGAAAAAUCCGAAGAAAUUGCCUUGAAAUUUUUGGCUUCAAAGUGCUGCCUUCCUCAGUGAUGACCGAAGUGACAAAAUUUUACUUUUACUUAUUUUCAACCAAGUUCAACACAGAUGAACUUUCAUCAUCAUAAGGUUAGAUGUGUAUUUUGGGUUCUUUUUAGUAUUUCCCACAUUUCAUGAAAACGAAUGCUGUGCAAACAUUGUUUAAGCGUUGCUUUCAUUUUUUUUCUCUGACGAAAAAUUCUUAGUUUGAAUUGUUUUAAAUAGGAAUUCUUUCAUUUAAAUAUGUAUGCAGCAUGCCAACAAAAGCAGCCAAAAGAAUUUCGUGUUCUUUGGUGCAUAAAUGUGUACAAUAGUAUUUUCAUUCAGAAAGAUGGAUCUUAAAGUAUAUAUGCUACUAGCCCAAGCACAAAUGCUCAUUAUAGCACCACAAACAACUUCCAAGUUUCCAACAAAAUAAAGGUUUGACACGAAAGCAAACCAAAUGCAAACCAUCCACAUCAGGUACAUCAUGACUUUACACAGAUAA